rnacentral:rRNA from 1 species
GACGUAGGGCGCAAGCGUUGUCCGGAUUUAUUGGGCGUAAAGAGCUCGUAGGCGGCUUGCCACGUCUGCCGUGAAAACCAGCAGCUUAACUGUUGGCUUGCGGUUGAUACGGAUGGGCUAGAGUUCGGGAGAGGAGAGUGGAAUUCCCAGUGUAGAGGUGAAAUUCGUAGAUAUUCGCAAGAACACCAGUGGCGAAGGCGGCUCACUGGCCCGAUACUGACGCUGAGGUGCGAAAGCGUGGGGAGCAAACAGG